GUGUAUAGCUCAGUGGUAGAGCACUUGUCUAGCAGGUGCAAGACCCUGGGUUUGAUUCCCAGCACCACA
rnacentral:tRNA from 1 species